rnacentral:rRNA from 1 species
UUUAUUUAAUGGCUGCAGUAUAUUAACUGUACAAAGGUAGCAUAAUUAUUUGUUUAUUAAUUUUAGACUAGUAUGAAAGGUUUAAUAAAAUAUAUAUUUUCUUAAUAAUAAGCUUUUGAAUUUAAUUUAUAAGUUAAAAAGCUUAUCUAUUUUUAUAGGACGAGAAGACCCUAUAGAAUUUAAUAUAUAAACUAUAAAUUUUAUAUUUUAUAUAUUAUGCUGGGGAGGUAAUUAUACUUGAAACUAUAAAAUAUUAUAUAUUCAUUAAUUUAUGUAUUAUUUGAUCCAUGAAGGUUUGAUUAUUAGAAUAAAUUACCUUAGGGAUAACAGCGUUAUUUAGUUGGAAAGUUCUUAUUGAUAAUUAA